rnacentral:rRNA from 1 species
CUACGGGAGGCAGCAGUGGGGAAUAUUGGACAAUGGGGGAAACCCUGAUCCAGCAAUGCCGCGUGUGUGAAGAAGGCCUGCGGGUUGUAAAGCACUUUCGGUUGGGAGGACUGCUUCUAGCACUAAUAUUGUUGGAAGUUGACGUUACCUUCAGAAGAAGCACCGGCUAACUCCGUGCCAGCAGCCGCGGUAAUACGGAGGGUGCAAGCGUUAAUCGGAAUUACUGGGCGUAAAGCGCGCGUAGGCGGCUAGAUCAGUCGGGUGUGAAAGCCCCGGGCUUAACCUGGGAACUGCAUCCGAUACUGUCUAGCUUGAGUACAGGAGAGGAGAGUGGAAUUCCACAUGUAGCGGUGAAAUGCGUAGAUAUGUAGAGGAACACCAAUGGCGAAGGCAGCUCUCUGGCCUGAUACUGACGCUGAGGUGCGAAAGUGUGGGGAGCAAACAGGAUUAGAUACCCGCGUAGUC